AUUGAACGCUGGCGGCAUGCUUUACACAUGCAAGUCGAACGGCAGCGCGGGGGCAACCCUGGCGGCGAGUGGCGAACGGGUGAGUAAUGCAUCGGAACGUAUCCUGUAAUGGGGGAUAACGUAGCGAAAGUUACGCUAAUACCGCAUACGCUCGAGAGAGGAAAGUGGGGAUCGCAAGACCUCACGUUAUAGGAGCGGCCGAUGUCCGAUUAGCUAGUUGGUGGGGUAAAGGCCUACCAAGGCGACGAUCGGUAGCUGGUCUGAGAGGAUGAUCAGCCACACUGGGACUGAGACACGGCCCAGACUCCUACGGGAGGCAGCAGUGGGAAUUUUGGACAAUGGGCGAAAGCCUGAUCCAGCCAUGCCGCGUGCGGGAAGAAGGCC
rnacentral:rRNA from 1 species